UUCCAGAAGGAAUUUCCAGAUAUUCCUAUCGGCUAUUCCGGCCACGAGUCUGGAAUCCACAUUUCAGUGGCAGCAGUAGCUCUGGGGGCCAAGAUUGUUGAGCGCCACGUAACUUUAGAUAAAACCUAGAAAGGAAGUGACCACGAAGCAUCGCUGGAGCCCUCUGAGCUCACCGAGCUGGUUCGCGCCAUCCGACUGGUGGGACGAGCGCUGGGGAACGGUAUCAAAGAGAUGUUGCUUUGUGAAAAUCCCUGCCAUGACAAGUUGGGUAAGUCGGUGGUAGCCAAGGUGAGGAUCCAUAAAGGAACCGCCCUGACUAUGGACAUGCUGGCCGUGAAGGUGGCCGAGCCCCCAUCUUCCAGCUGGUUGGUAAGACUGUGACGGAAGAUGUGGAGGAGGACCAGAGCGUCACACCGGAAGUGGUGGACAGCUACGGCAAGAAAGCCAAGUGCUGAUGAUGCAAGAGAAGCUUGAAACCAUUUUGAUUUGAAAAGGAAUUUUAAUUGAUUCCUGUGUGGAUCAACUGGGAAGAGCUCAAUCUGACAGAUUGAAGGAGGGAGGAGCAUCAUAGUACAUUUGUCUGCUGCUGAUUUCUGACCCGCAAAUCACGCUCAUGGUUCCAUGACAUAAUUGAAUGUUGCUGUUGAAUCUAAAAGUUUAAAUAUUACCACCAACAAAGGCUUAGACUGACAGCUCUGCCAGGUCCCAUCACUAUUCAGCCAUGUCAUGAACCUGACUCCUGUUUUUGUUUCAGCAUCGGUUGUGAAAAUCAGUCUUAAAAGGUGGAGGAAUGUAAAAACAGUGAUGUUGAGCUGUUCUGAACAGAUAAAACUUCUAAAAAUCCUC